rnacentral:rRNA from 2 species
GGAUGCGAUCAUACCAGCACUAAAGCACCGGAUCCCAUCAGAACUCCGAAGUUAAGCGUGCUUGGGCGAGAGUAGUACUACGAUGGGUGACCUCCUGGGAAGUCCUCGUGUUGCAUUCC